rnacentral:lncRNA from 1 species
GGGGGGUGAAUGGGAGCCUAUAAAAAUUCUCAACGAAAAUAAGGCCUAUGUCCCAAACGCAACCCCAAAGCACACGGUGCGUUCAAUCGUCAAGAUGACGCAAGUCAACUCGUGACUAGCUCACCCUAGGAACGAUAAGAGACACACAAAUCACAGCGGAAACAAGACAUAAAAUGAUUCUAACAAGUUUGCUCAAAACACGAUUAACC